GUAGUCCUAGCCGUAAUCGGUGCGUAUGUGCUGUAAAAGGAAUCGAAGGAAUCGGUGGCGUAGCAAACGUAGCAAAUACGCCGCAUGGGAAGUACGGUAACAAGAUUAACAAUCAAAGAAAUUGACGGAGGCGUGCACAAGCGGUGGAGUAGGUGGAGCAUUUGGAUGCAUUGGGAAGAACCUGAAGUGCCCUUGACAGGCAAGUGGUAGAACCAUGAAAGUGGGACGACCCCGCAAGGGGCAAGAGCACAGGUGCUGCAUGGCUGUCGUCAGCUCGUGUCGUGAGAUGUUGGGUUAAGUCCCGCAGUGAGCGCAACCCCUGUGUCCUGUUGCCACCCGGCCGAGAGGCUGGAGCACUCUGGACAGAGUGCCUCGCUUCAACGAGGAGGAAGGUGGGGAUGACGUCAAGUCAGUAUGGCCCUUACGGCCAGGGGUGCCCCCGUAGUUCCAUGCCCGGCACAGAGGGAAGCAAGAUCGUAAGAUGGAGCACAUUCCCGAAAACCGGGCCCAGUUCAGGAUGUGGUUUGCAACUUGGCGGCCAGAAGCCGGAAUCGCUAGUAAAGGCGCAUCAGGCACGGCGCCGUGAGUA
rnacentral:rRNA from 1 species